rnacentral:rRNA from 1 species
AUGAUAUUCUUCAUUGGAUGCCUUGUGCUUUGUGCACAGUGUGCUGUCGAUAAUAAGCAAACGAAGGUCAACCAAGAUGAUCAUGCGGCGAACACAAGUACCAACGCUACCAUCGUCAACUAA